GAGAGAGUGGAGUGAGAGGGUGGAUGGAAAAGGGAGUCACCAGGGUAGGCAGAGUUGGGGGAUUAUUGGCACUCCUGAGACUGUGUAGCCGCCCCCUCCUUUCUUCAGGUCGCCUGUUCCUGGCAUCAAUCCUGGCCAAGAACACCACAAUCUGGCCCCAGCUGCAGGGAGCUACUUCCUCCACAAGCCUGGAUACUUCUCUGGAUCUCCCAAGUCGCCUGGGCCCAAGGGGUGGAACUUGAAAGGACAGCCGGAGCUCGUUGGUGUGGCUGCCAGCGGGCUGACACAGGAUUGGCGGGCCAGGCCAGGCCCCGGAAAGAUGGUU